GCCUUCGUAGCUCAGUUGGUAGAGCAGCUGGUUUGUAACCAGCAGGCCGCGGGUUCGAGUCCCGUCGAAGGCU
rnacentral:tRNA from 1 species